rnacentral:lncRNA from 1 species
AUCUCACACACAUUCUUAGACUAUUUUGCUCUUCAUAUUAUACUUUGAAAUAAGUGGAAUAAAUGAAGAAUCAUCUGAAAAACCAAAGCCUUCACGGCAGAGAAAGCGAAAUAUUGAUCAGUGGAAGAAAAAUAAAGCAAAAGUCGACGAAAUGCUGGUCAGCAGUAUAAGUCUUUAAAAGCACACAAGACUGUUCAGGCUGCUACUAUAGGAAGUCCCUGUACUUGUUCAAUUAAAUGUUUCACAAAACUGCUUGCAGAGGAAGAAAACAUUUUUCAUUCAUUUUGGGACAUAAGAAACUUUAAUGCCCCGAAUACUUACCUGAUGAGCUGUAUGAAAAUGGAACCGAAAAAGCGGAGCUAUCCAAGAAAGACUUCCAAGAAAAUAUCAUCCAGGGAUGUUACAUUUUCUUAUAAUGUGAGGGUAUGCGGAAUAGAAGUCAUGAUCUGCAAGGAAGCUUUCCUAAGGGUUCAUGGCUUACAGAUACAUUCACGAAGAGUGAGGAAUUUGCAACAUCAAAUGAAGCAGGGAUUUGCAGUGCCGAAAGAAGAUGGAAGAGGAAAACAUGGAAACUACCCAUAUAAAUUUCAAGACAAAGCUGUACAAAGUGUUAGAGAAUUUCUCAACGCAAUACCGAAAUAUAUCAGUCAUUACAGUAGGCAACAGAACCCCAAUAAAAUGUAUUUGGAUUGUGAUCUCACAAUUGCUUCCUUAUUUCGAGAUAAAUACUCAGAAUACUACAAGGAAAAGUAGGUUCCUGC